CUCCGUGCCAGCAGCCGCGGUAAUACGGAGGGUGCAAGCGUUAAUCGGAAUUACUGGGCGUAAAGCGCGCGUAGGUGGCUUGAUAAGCCGGUUGUGAAAGCCCCGGGCUCAACCUGGGAACGGCAUCCGGAACUGUCAGGCUAGAGUGCAGGAGAGGAAGGUAGAAUUCCCGGUGUAGCGGUGAAAUGCGUAGAGAUCGGGAGGAAUACCAGUGGCGAAGGCGGCCUUCUGGACUGACACUGACACUGAGGUGCGAAAGCGUGGGUAGCAAACAGGAUUAGAUACCCUGGUAGUCCACGCCGUAAACGAUGUCGACCAGCCGUUGGGUGCCUAGAGCACUUUGUGGCGAAGUUAACGCGAUAAGUCGA
rnacentral:rRNA from 1 species